GAUGAACGCUGACAGAAUGCUUAACACAUGCAAGUCAACUUGAACUUCGGUUUGGGUGGCGGACGGGUGAGUAACGCGUAAAGAACUUGCCUCACAGAUAGGGACAACAUUUGGAAACGAAUGCUAAUACCUGAUAUUAUGAUUAUAUGGCAUCGUAUAAUUAUGAAAGCUAUAUGCGCUGUGAGAGAGCUUUGCGUCCCAUUGGCUAGUUGGAGAGGUAACGGCUCACCAAGGCGAUGAUGGGUAGCCGGCCUGAGAGGGUGAUCGGCCACAAGGGGACUGAGACACGGCCCUUACUCCUACGGGAGGCAGCAGUGGGGAAUAUUGGACAAUGGACCAAGAGUCUGAUCCAGCAAUUCUGUGUGCACGAUGAAGUUUUUCGGAAUGUAAAGUGCUUUCAGUUGGGAAGAAAAAAAUGACGGUACCAACAGAAGAAGUGACGGCUAAAUACGUG
rnacentral:rRNA from 1 species